rnacentral:rRNA from 1 species
AUUGAACGCUGGCGGCAGGCCUAACACAUGCAAGUCGAGCGAGCGGCGGACGGGUGAGUACUGUUUGGGACACUGCCUGAUGGCGGGGGAUAACUACUGGAAACGGUAGCUAAUACCGCAUACCAUCAGAUGUGCCCCGAUGGGCUUGGCUGGUAGGUGGGGUGACGGCUCACCUAGGCGACGAUCCCUAGCUGGUCUGAGAGGAUGACCAGCCACACUGGAACUGAGACACGGUGCAGACUCCUACGGGAGGCAGCAGUGGGGAAUAUUGCACAAUGGGCGCAAGCCUGAUGCAGCCAUGCCGGGUGUGUGAAGAAGGCCUUCGGGUUGUAAAGCACUGUCGGCGGGGAGGCGUUACCCGCAGAAGAAGAACCGGCUAACUCCGUGCCAGCAGCCGCGGUAAUUC